rnacentral:tRNA from 1 species
UGGCUCAGAGGUUAAAGCGUCUGCCUGCGAUGCAGGAGACCUGGGUUCAAUCCCUG